ACAAGAAUUCGAGGACGGCUACGUCGCGCGGGCAGCAAGUCUAGCCAUUGUGUGGAAAAGAGACGGGCCAAUGCCACAGAUACAGAAAAAGCGGAUUUUCGAUCAAGAAAUACAGUAACCGAAACGUCAAGUCGGGGGCAUUUUCGGGGUCGCUUACAACGCUUCCCGGUGUGUCCAACCGCCUGUGUGCAUCGGAUGUUUGAAUUCGGUUUUCGUCUAGCAAGCUACACUACAUUGAACUUUUCUGGUUAUCUGGCUGGCCGGAGAAUGCACAGUUCGUUACCCUCAGAUGUACCCAGGCAGUCUUUUGAAGUAGCACAGUCAUGAGGUUCCUCAUUCGCAAGCAGAAUUUCUUGCAGUUCUUCCGGGAGGGAAAACUCCAGGGGUGCUUCGUAUAUCCACCAGUUAUCGAGCACAGAACCUACGACGAGGCAGGCUUCCGGGGGAAAGAUCAAGGUUGAGAGUUCGAAAAGAAUCUGUGUGCGGUUUCGUACUCACACUGUCCUGCCAGCGAUUUUACCGGGUUUGUCUGAAAGUGAAUUUGACGCAGCAUGAUGACCGUACAUGAUUGUGUAGGACGACCC
rnacentral:lncRNA from 1 species